ACUUAUUUAAAUCUCACUUUCUCUGCAUGCUUUGGAGCCACAGUGUUGAGGCCAGACUUCCUGGGUUUGAACUCUGGGUCUGUUGGUGACCUGCUGUGGGCUUGGGCGCAGUCCUCAGUCUCUCUGUGCCCCAUCUUUCCCCGUGUAGAGGACCUCAUGCAUUACCUGUCUUCGAGAAUCACUGUCAAAGCACAGAUUAAUGACAUGAGCUACCUGAAUGACUGAACUCAGUCAUCUGAAAGUGCUUCCCAGGAUGGUGAUGUCUUUACUCUAAGAUUUCCACAUUGCAAGUAGAACCGCUUGGCUUGAGGUAUAAAGGUUAUGGAAGAGUGACAUGACUCAGAAGCAGCUUUCUGGAGAACGGAAUGCCAGAAUCUUACAGGAGGGAAUCCUGGCCAAUCACCUUGCCAAACAAAAGCAGAAAGAAAUGGCUGAUAAGGAAAUGAGCUCUUAGCCUAUCUUACUAUUUGAGACAUUACAAAAAGGUAUUGAAAGUUAUGGAAGCAGCAAAUAAUCUCAUGAUUGUCUAAGAAGAGCUCUCCAAGUUUUACCUAUCACCAUCUGUGUAUGCACCGUGAGUGAAGUAAGAGGCUUAUUCUGUGUUGAUGUGUUUGCACCAAAGAAGUGGCCGUGGUCUGAUGUACCAGGACAGGUUGAGUUGGAAGACCUGCUGCUUAUUAUAUUUCUAGCUUCUUCCUUCCCAGAGUCGUUAUAGCUGAUGAGCUAACUGAUGUUUUUGUAGAAGUGCUUAGUGCAGCUGGCAAUAGGUUUAAUUCUUGUAAUUGACUAUUAAGAUGUUA